rnacentral:rRNA from 1 species
AGAAUCAACGCUGGCGGCGUGCCUAACACAUGCAAGUCGAACGCGAAAGUGGAGCAAUCCAUGAGUAGAGUGGCAAACGGGUGAGUAACGCGUGGGUGAUUUGCCUCAGGGUGGGGGAUAACCUUCCGAAAGGAGGGCUAAUACCGCAUGACAUCGCGCUCUUCGAUGAGCGUAGAUCAAAGCUGGAACCGCAAGGUCUGGCGCCUGGAGAGAAGCCCGCGUCCGAUUAGCUAGUUGGUGAGGUAAUGGCUCACCAAGGCGACGAUCGGUAGCCGGCCUGAGAGGGCGGACGGCCACGACUGGGACUGGAGACACGGCCCAGACUCCUACGGGAGCAGCAGUGGGGAAUUGUCGCAAUGGCGAAAGCUGACGACGCAACGCCGCGUGGAGGAUGAAGAAUUUCGGUACUAACUCCUGUCGAGCGGAACGAAGAGUGCGACGGUUAACUACCCCGCGACAAGUGACGGUACCGACGUAAACGGACGCCCCGGACUAACCGUCCGCGACCG